rnacentral:rRNA from 1 species
GAUGAACGCUGGCGGCGUGCCUAAUACAUGCAAGUCGAGCGCGAGAAUGAGGAGCUUGCUCCUCAUAAUCGAGCGGCGGACGGGUGAGUAACACGUAGGCAACCUACCCUUGAGAUUGGGAUAACUACCGGAAACGGUAGCUAAUACCGGAUACGACUUUUCCACACAAGUGGAAUUGUUAAAAGGCGGAUUUAUCUGCCGCUCAUGGAUGGGCCUGCGGUGCAUUAGCUAGUUGGUGAGGUAGUGGCUCACCAAGGCGACGAUGCAUAGCCGACCUGAGAGGGUGAUCGGCCACACUGGGACUGAGACACGGCCCAGACUCCUACGGGGGGCAGCAGUAGGGAAUCUUCCGCAAUGGACGCAAGUCUGACGGAGCAACGCCGCGUGAGUGAUGAAGGGUUUCGGCUCGUAAAACUCUGUUGUUAAGGAAGAACAAAUUUGUUAGUAACUGAACAAGUCUUGACGGUACCUAACCAGAAAGCCACGGCUAACUACGUGCCAGCCGCCGCCGUAA